UUGAACGCUGGCGGCAUGCUUUACACAUGCAAGUCGAACGGCAGCGCGGGCUUCGGCCUGGCGGCGAGUGGCGAACGGGUGAGUAAUGCAUCGGAACGUGCCCAGUAGUGGGGAUAGCCCGGCGAAAGCCGGAUUAAUACCGCAUACGACCUGAGGGUGAAAGCGGGGGACCGAAAGGCCUCGCGCUAUUGGAGCGGCCGAUGUCGGAUUAGCUAGUUGGUGGGGUAAAGGCUUACCAAGGCGACGAUCCGUAGCUGGUCUGAGAGGACGACCAGCCACACUGGGACUGAGACACGGCCCAGACUCCUACGGGAGGCAGCAGUGGGGAAUUUUGGACAAUGGGGGCAACCCUGAUCCAGCCAUGCCGCGUGCGGGAAGAAGGCCUUCGGGUUGUAAACCGCUUUUGUUCGGGAAGAAAUCCUCUGGGCUAAUACCCCGGGGGGAUGACGGUACCGGAAGAAUAAGCACCGGCUAACUACGUG
rnacentral:rRNA from 1 species